UACGUAGGGUGCGAGCGUUGUCCGGAAUUAUUGGGCGUAAAGAGCUCGUAGGCGGUUUGUUGCGUCUAUCGUGAAAACCUGCGGCUUAACUGUGGGCUUGCGGUGGAUACGGGCAGACUUGAGUUCGGUAGGGGAGACUGGAAUUCCUGGUGUAGCGGUGAAAUGCGCAGAUAUCAGGAGGAACACCGGUGGCGAAGGCGGGUCUCUGGGCAGUAACUGACGCUGAGGAGCGAAAGCGUGGGGAGCGAACAGG
rnacentral:rRNA from 1 species